rnacentral:rRNA from 1 species
GUCGAGCGAACAGACGAGGAGCUUGCUCCUCUGACGUUAGCGGCGGACGGGUGAGUAACACGUGGGUAACCUACCUAUAAGACUGGGAUAACUCCGGGAAACCGGGGCUAAUACCGGAUAACACAUGAAACCGCAUGGUUUCAUGAUGAAAGACGGUUUUGCUGUCACUUAUAGAUGGACCCGCGGCGUAUUAGCUAGUUGGUAAGGUAACGGCUUACCAAGGCAACGAUACGUAGCCGACCUGAGAGGGUGAUCGGCCACACUGGAACUGAGACACGGUCCAGACUCCUACGGGAGGCAGCAGUAGGGAAUCUUCCGCAAUGGGCGAAAGCCUGACGGAGCAACGCCGCGUGAGUGAUGAAGGUCUUCGGAUCGUAAAACUCUGUUAUUAGGGAAGAACAAGGAUGUAAGUAACUGUGCAUCCCUUGACGGUACCUAAUCAGAAAGCCACGGCUAACUACGUGCCAGCAGCCGCGGUAAUACGUAGGUGGCAAGCGUUAUCCGGAAUUAUUGGGCGUAAAGCGCGCGUAGGCGGUUUUUUAAGUCUGAUGUGAAAGCCCACGGCUCAACCGUGGAGGGUCAUUGGAAACUGGAAAACUUGAGUGCAGAAGAGGAAAGUGGAAUUCCAUGUGUAGCGGUGAAAUGCGCAGAGAUAUGGAGGAACACCAGUGGCGAAGGCGACUUUCUGGUCUGCAACUGACGCUGAUGUGCGA